rnacentral:tRNA from 1 species
GCCUUCGUAGUGUAGAAGUCAGCAUGCUCGAUGCGUAUUCGAGAGGUCAGUGGUUCGAGUCCCGGCGAAGGCA